UCCGGUAUGGUGUAACGGCUAACAUUGUCGCCUUUCAGCUGACUAAUCCUGUCACAUGACGCGACGGCUCAGGGUUCGAUUCCCUGUACCGGAG